AUUGAACGCUGGCGGCAGGCCUAACACAUGCAAGUCGAACGAGUGGCGGACGGGUGAGUAAUGUCUGGGAAACUGCCCGAUGGAGGGGGAUAACUACUGGACACGGUAGCUACUACCGCAUACCAUCGGAUGUGCCCAGAUGGGAUGAGCUAGUAGGUGGGGUAACGGCCCACCUAGGCGACGAUCCCUAGCUGGUCUGAGAGGAUGACCAGCCACACUGGAACUGAGACACGGUCCAGACUCCUACGGGAGGCAGCAGUGGGGAAUAUUGCACAAUGGGCGCAAGCCUGAUCCAGCCAUGCCGCGUGUGUGAAGAAGGUCUUCGGGUUGUAAAGCACUUUCAGCGGGGAGGCGUUACUCGCAGAAGAAGCACCGGCUAACUCCGUGCCAGCAGCCGCGGUAAUAC
rnacentral:rRNA from 1 species